UGGGAACUCGGCCAUCCACUUCUGUAUGCACACUUAAGCUGCCCUCCAUUACAAGACAAGUGGGUUGGCUAAAGCAAGAAGAGGCCAGCCAGAACCACCACCACCUCCAGCAUGGGAGGGCGCUGCGACACGUCAGCGCUCACAAAGAACAAACAGGAGGAUCCUCAAAUUAAACGUGCAGCGCUGUGGGCCUGACUCACAGCUCGUGGGCAUGUUUGGUGGAGGGCAGGAUAUUUCUUCAAAGUUCCUGCAGCAGCCUCGCUGCGCAACACUUGAUAUAGAUAUGACCUGAAACCUGAAAUCUCCCAACAACGACAACAACAGCUACUCCAUUAUAUGUUGAAGGAGUUGGCUCAGCUUUUGAAUUGUAGCAUCAAGUCAGUUCAGCUUCAUUAAUACAACCCCCUAUUAUCCUACGUCAGAAUGAAAGUAAAGGACUGUUGGUUCACACACACACCUGCAGCACAUUCUGGCACUCAGCGCCUGAUGACGUACCCUGGUCUUCGCUGCCAGUUGAUUUUGUCGGCUCAGUGCGGUAAAUGUGAACGAUCACUCUCUGGAUCAGCGGUCAGUCGCCAGCCAACUGUCUGUGGAGCCUCCAGGAGUCGCUCUCUGGAGUGCUCUGGUUCCCCCUCUCUGAACCCUCGCCGGAGCCGCCAGCCUGAGCCGGAGCUCUCCACCUUGAGCUUGAGCUCGACCUCUCGUUGAGUUCUCGGACUGAUCCAUGUCUGGACUGAACAUGUCUUUGAGUUGAUCACCACUCCCUGCCGUAACCACUGAGUCCUCCUCUCCAGUUCUAACUCAUUCUCUUGCAAGUUUUCUGAAAUCUCAGAUUGUUUUGUUCAAUAAAUAAGGCCUG